GAUGAACGCUGGCGGCGUGCCUAAUACAUGCAAGUCGAGCGAACAGAUGAGGAGCUUGCUCCUCUGACGUUAGCGGCGGACGGGUGAGUAACACGUGGAUAACCUACCUAUAAGACUGGGAUAACUUCGGGAAACCGGAGCUAAUACCGGAUAAUAUAUUGAACCGCAUGGUUCAAUAGUGAAAGACGGUUUUGCUGUCACUUAUAGAUGGAUCCGCGCCGCAUUAGCUAGUUGGUAAGGUAACGGCUUACCAAGGCAACGAUGCGUAGCCGACCUGAGAGGGUGAUCGGCCACACUGGAACUGAGACACGGUCCAGACUCCUACGGGAGGCAGCAGUAGGGAAUCUUCCGCAAAGGGCGAAAGCCUGACGGAGCAACGCCGCGUGAGUGAUGAAGGUCUUCGGAUCGGAAAACUCUGUUAUUAGGGAAGAACAAAUGUGUAAGUAACUAUGCACGUCUUGACGGUACCUAAUCAGAAAGCCACGGCUAACUACGUG
rnacentral:rRNA from 1 species